CCUACGGGGGGCAGCAGUGAGGAAUAUUGGUCAAUGGGCGAGAGCCUGAACCAGCCAAGUCGCGUGAAGGAUGACGGCCCUACGGGUUGUAAACUUCUUUUGUCAGGGAGCAAUUGGGUCCACGCGUGGGCUUAGCGAGAGUACCUGAAGAAAAAGCAUCGGCUAACUCCGUGCCAGCAGCCGCGGUAAUACGGAGGAUGCGAGCGUUAUCCGGAUUUAUUGGGUUUAAAGGGUGCGUAGGCGGAAUAUCAAGUCAGCGGUAAAAAUUCGGGGCUCAACCCCGUCGUGCCGUUGAAACUGAUGUUCUGGAGUGGGCGAGAAGUAUGCGGAAUGCGUGGUGAAGCGGUGAAAUGCAUAGAUAUAACGCAGAACUCCGAUUGCGAAGGCAGCAUACCGGCGCCCAACUGACGCUGAAGCACGAAAGCGUGGGUAUCGAACAGGAUUAGAUACCCGAGUAGUC
rnacentral:rRNA from 1 species